AAAAGUUAUAUUCCAAUUUGCUGAAAUUGACAACAUUUUAGUGGAUAUAACUGCACAGUUCUCUAAUGAUCCAGAAGAAGGUUUUACACAACGUAAAAUUUCAGAUGAACUUAAUGUUUUGAAAAGAAAAAUUGCAAAUAUAGAUAUCCAAUACAUCGCUUUUGUAUUAGUCAGUUUUAUCUUUAUAGUUUAUAUGUUAUAUAUUGUUACAAUAAUUCUUUUAAAUUGUCAUAAACAUUUUCAAUGUUUCUUUCACAUUGUUUCUUUUUAGGUAAAACAGUUAUCAUUAAUUAGCGGUAAAAAAUCGAGUAGAUACAAUUAAAAAUAUUUUGCUCUUACUACCAACAGACACUAUUUUGUCCGAAUACAGCAUGAAUGGUCUAAAGAAGAAAAAAAAGUUUAAAGAAUUGACAAGUCUAUGUAAUGCUGAAACUGCUUUAAAGUCAAAUAAAAACAAAAUGGAUGCCAUCCAUUCAACUUAUUGGGAGAGUAAUUAGGAAUUCUUCUGACUGAUUAAAGAAAACAUCCACUAAUAUGAAUAUCGAUCAAUGAUCGGCUUAAUUAGCUGUUGUAUUUUUUAUUUAUUUUCCAUUUUUCAGCAAUUUUCUUCUAUUUAUAAUGCACUAUCGAUUAUAUUCUACAGUACCUAAUAGUUUUUAAUUUGGAAAGGGUAAUUUUAUUUGAAAAAUUAUUCUUAUUUUUUGUAAAGUAAUUAAUUUAUUUUAAAUAUAUCAAAUUACACUUUA